rnacentral:misc_RNA from 1 species
GCCAAUAUCACAUGAUUAUAAUGGUCCCUUGGAUGAACCCUUGAAACAUAACCCAAUUUCAUCAAAUCUGCACUGGCCAACAGAGCUUGAGCAGUCCACUUAGCCAAUUUAUUGGCAUUGUUCUUCAAUUCAGUGGCCAAAACAGCACCUCUUUGAGUCUCCAACUUCUGCCUCCAAUCAACUCCUGAAUAUUUAGGGUCAAACUCAUUAAGAGCAUUCAACGUCAAAAACGACCUCUGUUUGUUAACCUCCACAACACUCUGCAC